rnacentral:rRNA from 1 species
UACGUAGGCAGCGAGCGUUGUUCGGAGUUACUGGGCGUAAAGAGUGCGUAGGCGGUUUUCUAAGUUUGGUGUGAAAUCUCCCGGCUCAACUGGGAGGGUGCGCCGAAGACUGGAAGGCUUGAGUAUGGGAGAGGUAAGCGGAAUUCCUGGUGUAGCGGUGAAAUGCGUAGAUAUCAGGAGGAACACCUGCGGUGUAGACGGCUUCUGGACCAUAACUGACGCUGAGGCACGAAAGCGUGGGUAGCAAACGG